rnacentral:rRNA from 1 species
GACGAACGCUGGCGGCGUGCCUAAUACAUGCAAGUCGAGCGCAGGAAGCUGGCGGAACUCUUCGGAGGGAAGGCAGUGGAAUGAGCGGCGGACGGGUGAGUAACACGUAAGGGACCUGCCUCAAGGAUUGGGAUAACUCCGAGAAAUCGGAGCUAAUACCGGAUAGUUCAUUGGACCGCAUGGUCCGGUGAUGAAAGGCGCUUCGGCGUCACCUUGAGAUGGCCUUGCGGUGCAUUAGCUAGUUGGUGGGGUAACGGCCCACCAAGGCGGCGAUGCAUAGCCGACCUGAGAGGGUGAUCGGCCACACUGGGACUGAGACACGGCCCAGACUCCUACGGGAGGCAGCAGUAGGGAAUCUUCCACAAUGGACGAAAGUCUGAUGGAGCAACGCCGCGUGAGUGAUGAAGGUUUUCGGAUCGUAAAACUCUGUUGUAAGGGAAGAACACGUACGAGAGGUAAUGCUCGUACCUUGACGGUACCUUACGAGAAAGCCACGGCUAACUACGUGCCAGCCGCCGCCGUAA